rnacentral:rRNA from 1 species
GAUGAACGCUGGCGGCGUGCCUAAUACAUGCAAGUCGAGCGAACAGACGAGGAGCUUGCUCCUCUGACGUUAGCGGCGGACGGGUGAGUAACACGUGGAUAACCUACCUAUAAGACUGGGAUAACUUCGGGAAACCGGAGCUAAUACCGGAUAAUAUAUUGAACCGCAUGGUUCAAUAGUGAAAGACGGUUUUGCUGUCACUUAUAGAUGGAUCCGCGCCGCAUUAGCUAGUUGGUAAGGUAACGGCUUACCAAGGCAACGAUGCGUAGCCGACCUGAGAGGGUGAUAGGCCACACUGGAACUGGGACACGGUCCAGACUCCUAUGGGAGGCAGCAGUAGGGAAUCUUCCGCAAUGGGCGAAAGCUUGACGGAGCAACGCCGCGUGAGUGAUGAAGGUCUUCGGAUCGUAAAACUCUGUUAUUAGGGAAGAACAAAUGUGUAAGUAACUAUGCACGUCUUGACGGUACCUAAUCAGAAAGCCACGGCUAACUACGUG